rnacentral:rRNA from 1 species
GACGAACGCUGGCGGCGUGCUUAACACAUGCAAGUCGAACGAAGUGGCGAACGGGUGAGUAACGCGGAAUCAACCUGCCCUUCAGAGGGGGACAACAGUUGGACACGACUGCUAAUACCGCAUACUGAAGGAGGGGAUUGCGUCUGAUUGGCUAGUUGGAGGGGUAACGGGCCACCAAGGCGAUGAUCAGUAGGCGGUCUGGGGGGAUGGACGGCCCAGUGGGGACCGAGACACGGCCCAGACCCCGACGGGGGGCAGCAGUGGGGAAUCUUCCGCAAUGGACGAAAGGCUGACGAAGCAACGCCGCGUGAGUGAUGACGGCUUUCGGGUUGUAAAGCUCUGUUAAUCGGGACGCGGUACCGGAAUAGAAAGCCACGGCUAACUACGUGCCAGCCGCCGCGGUAAUAC